rnacentral:rRNA from 1 species
AGUGAACGCUGGCGGUAGGCCUAACACAUGCAAGUCGAACGGCAGCACAGUAAGAGCUUGCUCUUACGGGUGGCGAGUGGCGGAUGGGUGAGGAAUACAUCGGAAUCUACUUUUUCGUGGGGGAUAACGUAGGGAAACUUACGCUAAUACCGCAUACGACCUACGGGUGAAAGCAGGGGAUCUUCGGACCUUGCGUGAUUGAAUGAGCCGAUGUCGGAUUAGCUAGUUGGUGGGGUAAAGGCCCACCAAGGCGACGAUCCGUAGCUGGUCUGAGAGGAUGAUCAGCCACACUGGAACUGAGACACGGUCCAGACUCCUACGGGAGGCAGCAGUGGGGAAUAUUGGACAAUGGGCGCAAGCCUGAUCCAGCCAUGCCGCGUGAGUGAAGAAGGCCUUCGGGUUGUAAAGCCCUUUUAUUGGGAAAGAAAAGCAGCAGGUUAAUACCCCGCUGUUUUGACGGUACCCAAAGAAUAAGCACCGGCUAACUUCGUG